rnacentral:rRNA from 1 species
CAGUCGCCGCGGGAAUACGUAGGUGGCAAGCGUUGUCGGGAAUUAUUGGGCGUAAAGGGCUCGCAGGCGGUUUCUUAAGUCUGAUGUGAAAGCCCCCGGCUCAACCGGGGAGGGUCAUUGGAAACUGGGAAACUUGAGUGCAGAAGAGGAGAGUGGAAUUCCACGUGUAGCGGUGAAAUGCGUAGAGAUGUGGAGGAACACCAGUGGCGAAGGCGACUCUCUGGUCUGUAACUGACGCUGAGGAGCGAAAGCGUGGGGAGCGAACAGGAUUAGAUACCCCCGUAGUCCCUGUCUCUUAUAC